rnacentral:lncRNA from 1 species
UUGGUAGUUGUUGAAGAACAAAUCUUUAUUUUGACCUCCUUAUAUUGUGGAUUGUAUUUGUAAGAAACAUGCACACGUUUGAUAGAUACGCUGUGAUAUCGGCCUACUUGUUCGGCAAGUACUUAUCUCCUUCACUUCUUGUACCCAUUUUGCAGUUCAUGGACAAAUCAUGCAGCGUCAUGGACUCAUCUUCUAUAACACAUAAGUAGGCGCGCAUGCCAGAUUGAUUCCUUCCAGUACCUAGCUGAUGUUGUUUGUACCCAGACUACCCACAGUGCCUGAUGAAGCUACAAGACCGCAAACAUACGGGACCUAGACGAGUCCACGGAGAAACAACAUCCUUGUGUAUCUUGAGCUGCUUCAUCACUUGAUGGAACGAGACAUGGUUGUGGGGAACACAGCAGGAUUAGCAAGUAAUUCGAGAGUAAUCUUGUAUGCGCCCUGGGCUCAGUUUGCGCCGCGAUAAAUUGUUUUCAACAUGUAAUACAUUUGUUAUAUUCAUGAGCCGUUGAGAACACAAUGCUGAGUUGCCAAGAGAACCAAAAAAGUGU